UACGUAGGUGGCAAGCGUUGUCCGGAUUUACUGGGCGUAAAGAGCGCGCAGGCGGUCUUGCAAGUCGCGUGUGAAAGCCCCCGGCUCAACUGGGGAGGGUCACGCGAUACUGAUCGACUCGAAGGCAGGAGAGGGUAGUGGAAUUCCCGGUGUAGUGGUGAAAUGCGUAGAUAUCGGGAGGAACACCAGUGGCGAAGGCGACUACCUGGCCUGUUCUUGACGCUGAGGCGCGAAAGCUAGGGGAGCAAACGGG
rnacentral:rRNA from 1 species